GUGGGGAAUCUUCCGCAAUGGACGAAAGUCUGACGGAGCAACGCCGCGUGAGUGAAGAAGGUUUUCGGAUCGUAAAGCUCUUUCGUUAGGGACGAACGUGCUCUUUGUGAAUAAUGAGGAGUAAUGACGGUACCUAAAUAAGAAGCCACGGCUAACUACGUGCCAGCAGCCGCGGUAAUACGUAGGUGGCAAGCGUUGGCCGGAAUUAUUGGGCGUAAAGCGCGCGCAGGCGGGAUAUCAAGUCUGUCUUAAAAGUGCGAGGCUCAACCUCGUGAGGGGACAGAAACUGGUAUUCUUGAGUGUCGGAGAGGAAAGUGGAAUUCCAAGUGUAGCGGUGAAAUGCGUAGAGAUUUGGAAGAACACCAGUGGCGAAGGCGACUUUCUGGACGAUGUCUGACGCGGAGGCGCGAAAGCUAGGGGAGCGAACGGGAUUAGAAACCCCUGUAGUCC
rnacentral:rRNA from 1 species